GAUCAAGUUACUAAGGGCAUAUGGUGGAUGCCUUGGCACCAGAAGGCGAUGAAGGACGUAGUAAGCUGCGAUAAGCUCCGGUGAGCUGCAAACAAGCUGGGACCCGGAGAUCUCCGAAUGGGUAAACCCAUUCCGCUUAAUAGCGGAAUAUCUCCUGGUGAAUUCAUAGCCAGGAAGAGGCGAACGAGGGGAACUGAAACAUCUUAGUACCCUCAGGAAGAGAAAGUAAACACGAUUUCCCUAGUAGCGGCGAGCGAACGGGAAAUAGCCCAAACCGGUCUGCACGUUAAAGCCAGCGCGCGUUGUGCUGCCGGGGUAGUGGAGUUUUGACGAGCUCUGGGUGCUGACAGGGCGAAGAGUUACAAAUUCAUAUCUUAGCCGAACAGUCUGGAAAGGCCAGCCACAGAAGGUGAAAGUCCUGUAGGCUAAAAGGUAUGGACUCUUAGUCAAGAUUUCCAAGUAGUACGGGACACGUGCAAUCCUGUACGAAUCUGCCCAGACCACUGGGUAAGGCUAAAUACUCUCUGGUGACCGAUAGUGAACUAGUACCGUGAGGGAAAGGUGAAAAGUACUCCUGGCGGAGAGUGAAAUAGAACUUGAAACCAUAUGCUUACAAGCUGUGGGAGCCUUGUAGUUCCUUUCGGGGAACUACCGGGUGACUGCGUGCCUAUUGAAUAAUGAUCCGGCGAGUUACUUGUAGGUUGCAAGGUUAAGUCAUAGACUGACGUAGCCGUAGCGAAAGCGAGUCCUAAAUGGGCGACUUUAGUAACCUGCAGUAGACCCGAAGCCAGUUGAUCUAGGCAUGGACAGGAUGAAAUCCAGGUAACACUGGAUGGAGGUCCGAACCUACCAACGUUGAAAAGUUGGGGGAUGAUCUGUGCCUAGGAGUGAAAGGCUAAUCAAAGCUGGAGAUAGCUGGUUCUCCCCGAAAUAGUUUUUGGACUAGCCUCGCAUGAAGAGUAACGGAGGUAGAGCACUGAAUGGGCAAGGGGCCCUACAAGGUUUCCAACCCCAAUCAAACUCCGAAUGCCGUCACUUGUUUUGCGGGAGUCAGGCAGUGGGGGAUAAGCUUCAUUGCCGAGAGGGAAACAACCCAGACCACCAGCCAAGGUCCCUAAGUACAGGCUAAGUGAUAAAGGAUGUGGGAUUACUCAGACAACUAGGAUGUUGGCUUAGAAGCAGCCAUCAUUUAAAGAGUGCGUAAAUGCUCACUAGUCAAGUGAUUCUGCGCCGACAAUUCACGGGACUAAGCCUGUCACCGAAGCUGUGGACUAGUCCCGCCUUUGGCGGGAUUAUUGGUAGGGGAGCAUUCUGUAGUAGGUUGAAGUUCUGACGCGAGUCAGGAUCGACGAGGCAGAAGAGAUUAUGCCGGAACGAGUAGCGAUAAAGCAGGCGAGAAACCUGCUCACCGUAAACCUAAGGGUUCCUGAGGAAGGUUAAUCCACUCAGGGUAAGUCGGACCCUAAGCUGAGGCCGAAAGGCGUAGGCGAUGGAAAAGCCGUUAAAAUUCGGCUACCAUCUGAAAGGCGAUCAAGACAUCUAAGGGGUGACGCAGAAGUGAAAGGUCAGCCCCGCANNNNNNUGCGGGGUCUAAGCCUGUAGAGGUUCCUGGCAGGCAAAUCCGUCAGGAUAUAACCUCGAAGGGUGAUGGGGAGGCCGCAAGGCCGUAAACUGACCCUAAGCCGGCUGCCAAGAAAAUCCUCGUAGGUGAGUUUUUCAGGUGUCCGUACCGUAAACCGACACAGGUGGGUGAGGAGAAUAUCCUAAGGUGCUCGAGCUAACCCUCGUUAAGGAACUAGGCAAAAUGACCCCGUAACUUCGGAAGAAGGGGUGUCUUAAGUAAUCUUUUUCCUUCGGGAGGAGGACGAAAGAGGCCACAGAGAAGAGGCCUGGGUGACUGUUUACUAAAAACACAUGUCUCUGCUAAGCCAAACGGC
rnacentral:ncRNA from 1 species